ACAGGUCACUUUAAAAUAAUGCCAGAAAUACGGAAGUGACAAAGUGCGAGUGAUAACUCUGGUAUGGAAUCGUGGGAAAGGUGGUGCUGUAAGGAUGGGUGUAUUCAGUUCUCGAGGAGAGAAGAUCCUCAUGGCUGAUGCUGAUGGAGCCACAAAGUUUCCAGAUGUUGAGAAAUUAAAAAAGGGGCUGAGUGAUCUCCGGCCAUGGCCUGAUCAAAUGGCCAUCGCUUGUGGGUCUUGUGCUCAUCUGGAGAAAGAAUCGAUUGCUCAGGUGAGGCUUCCCCGAGCUGCCAUGGACAGUAGCUCGUUAACCUUCAACCCCCUGUUACAUGCACAUGCACAUUUUGUCAGAUAUGGGUUCCUGUGUUUUCUCUCAAAAAUGAGCUUCCCUUCAACUUCAUUGAAUUUGUGGAAGAUUAGCUUAAGUGUACACAGGACAAGUGAGGCCUUACCUUACAAUGUAAGUGUUCUCAGAAUUGUUUCUAAGAUACAGAGAUGAUCAUUUGAUCAAGACAGACUUUUCUAAAGAAAAAUUGAUUUUUGAAGAUUCUUUCUCUCUCUGUGUGUGUGUGUGUGUGUGUGUGUGUAGGUACCCACAAAGGCUAGAAGAGAAUGUCAGAUCCCCUGGAGCUGAAAUUACAGGCAGUGUGAGCUGCCCAAGUUGGUGCUGGGAUCUGAACUUAGGUCCCACAGAAGAGCACUGAGUCAUCCCUUUAGCUCUGUGUCUGUUUUUAGCCUGCCCGAUUGCCCUCAGUGUUUCCUAUACUGGCGCAUAUCAGUGACCACUGUGUUGAGCACUCCUGGUCCAAAAUCCAAAAUUUUGAAGGCCAACAUGAUGCCAUGAAGGGAAAUGUGUCCCAUAUGUAGAUUACUUUAAAAAUAACCUUUUGUAUAUUUGCCUAAGGUUGAAAUGGAACAUGAAUCUCACAGUUAGACUUUCCCUUUCCCCUGUCUAAUGUGUGUGUGUGCAUGAAUAAAAUAUUCUAAAUUAUGAAAAAAGUAUAAACUCUGAGAUAUUCCUAAUCCCAAACGUUUAUGAUAAGCUCUAUUCAGAGUGUAUUUUGAGUUUUGUUGAGUUUAAAUAUUUCUCAUUUCAUGUCUAUGAAGAAACCACUUAACUGCAGAUUGUCAGACUCAUGACAUAUCCUUUUAGAAAGAUACAUGUCACCAAAGACUGCAGGUGGAGGCUGCUCUUUUGUAGAUCAUACUGAAAACGCCAGAGCAACUCACAGGAUAAAACAUUUCAGUGAGGAACUCGUGUGUGUGUGUGUGUGUGUGUGUGUGUGUGUGUGUGUGUGUGUGUGUGUGUGUUAGAAGUCGCAGUCAGAGAAUCAGAGUUUUCUCUUUCAAAUGGAGAUCUUGAGUGUGAAGUCCAUAACCGUCAUGUUCACAGUGGUUCUUCACCGAGAGUAGAGAAGAGCCAGUGUCAGUGUGUGGCUGAAUUACCUGGGGAGGGAUUUAUAGUGUGUAACCGCAGCCAGUCCAUCACUGAGUCAGACUCUAGAAUGAGACCAGGGCCUGCCUUUGCAGCAGGCCACAGAUCUAUACAUGUUAAUUCUACAACUAUUAAAAUAAAAUUGAAUGUCUCCCUCCAUGAUUCUGAAAUGAGGUAGGAGGAGAGUUUAAACUCUAUCAAGACAGGGACAGCAAAGUUGCGAACCCUCAUGAGCAUGGAAACCAGACUCCUUUGUUGAAGGGCAAGGCAGCAGACUUCACUGGGAAGCAGGGAGACAGCUCUUGCAGUUGGAAGGGACUCCAGCAUGAGUUUCCCUAGACACUCGUUUUUCAGAAAUAAGCCUUUUUUACAAGAUUUUUUAUCUUUAUUUUAUGUAUAUGAACGUUCUGCCUGUGUGCAUGUCUGUGUCCUGCAUGUAUGACUGACUCUUACAAAAGAAAAGAGGGCACUAGAUCCCUGGAGCUGGAGUUGCAGAUAUUUGUGAACCACAAUGUGGGUGCUAGGAAGAGAAUCCAGGACUGCUGCAAAACAGCCAGGACCUUAAUCACUGAGCCAUCUCUCCAGCUCCAAAAUAAACAGUUUUUGAUAUCUACUUAAUAUUCUAUGUCCCAUGCAGUUCUUAUUAAUGAACUGCUAUAAGCGAAAAGAAAAUAUUAAAAAAUUAGUAUGUAUAUAUGUAUGGUUAUGACUAACAUAAG